rnacentral:rRNA from 1 species
UGGGGAAUCUUGGACAAUGGGCGCAAGCCUGAUCCAGCCAUGCCGCGUGAGUGAAGAAGGCCUUCGGGUUGUAAAGCUCUUUUACCAGGGACGAUAAUGACGGUACCUGGAGAAUAAGCCCCGGCAAACUUCGUGCCAGCAGCCGCGGUAAUACGAAGGGGGCUAGCGUUGUUCGGAAUUACUGGGCGUAAAGCGCACGUAGGCGGAUUGUUAAGUCAGAGGUGAAAUCCCGGAGCUCAACUUCGGAACUGCCUUUGAUACUGGCAAUCUAGAGUCCGGAAGAGGUUAGUGGAAUUCCCAGUGUAGAGGUGAAAUUCGUAGAUAUUGGGAAGAACACCAGUGGCGAAGGCGGCCACCUGGUUGGAUACUGACGCUGAGACGCGAAAGCGUGGGGAGCAAACAGGAUUAGAUACCCACGUAGUCCCUGAGCGGGCUGGCAAGGCGCAU